UACGAAGGGGGCUAGCGUUGCUCGGAAUCACUGGGCGUAAAGCGCACGUAGGCGGAUCUUUAAGUCAGGGGUGAAAUCCUGGAGCUCAACUCCAGAACUGCCUUUGAUACUGGGGAUCUCGAGUCCGGGAGAGGUGAGUGGAACUGCGAGUGUAGAGGUGAAAUUCGUAGAUAUUCGCAAGAACACCAGUGGCGAAGGCGGCUCACUGGCCCGGUACUGACGCUGAGGUGCGAAAGCGCGGGGAGCAAACAGG
rnacentral:rRNA from 1 species